GGUCGUAUGUGUGGUGCCAUUUAUUUAACCUUUAGAAGUGACAUCACAUAUACGGUGGC
rnacentral:pre_miRNA from 1 species